rnacentral:lncRNA from 1 species
CCCAACCUAUCUCUUUUCAACACUUAGCAAACUGACCAAAAUCAAUAAAGAAAGAACACACUUUUUUUUUUUUUUUUUUUUUUUUUUUUUUUUUUUUUUAAGGAGGCUUUAUGGGGUACUCUUUCUGAAUUGUCCAUGUAAUGGGGGUCCAUCGAUGACUCCCAACCAAUUAAGGUUUAGGGUAUCAAGUUUUAAGGAUCUUUCAACCACUAACUCCUCGUAUUUUUCCCUGGACUUUU